AGUGAACGCUGGCGGUAGGCCUAACACAUGCCAGUCGAACGGCAGCACAGUAAGAGCUUGCUCUUACGGGUGGCGAGUGGCGGACGGGUGAGGAAUACAUCGGAAUCUACUUUUUCGUGGGGGAUAACGUAGGGAAACUUACGCUAAUACCGCAUACGACCUACGGGUGAAAGCAGGGGAUCUUCGGACCUUGCGCGAUUGAAUGAGCCGAUGUCGGAUUAGCUAGUUGGCGGGGUAAAGGCCCACCAAGGCGACGAUCCGUAGCUGGUCUGAGAGGAUGAUCAGCCACACUGGAACUGAGACACGGUCCAGACUCCUACGGGAGGCAGCAGUGGGGAAUAUUGGACAAUGGGCGCAAGCCUGAUCCAGCCAUACCGCGUGGGUGAAGAAGGCCUUCGGGUUGUAAAGCCCUUUUGUUGGGAAAGAAAAGCAGCAGGUUAAUACCCCGCUGCUCUGACGGUACCCAAAGAAUAAGCACCGGCUAACUUCGU
rnacentral:rRNA from 1 species